CGGGGAUUGGCGCAAUUGGCUAGCGCGCAGCGUUCGGGACGCUGAGGUUGCUGGUUCGAAUCCAGUAUCCCCGA
rnacentral:tRNA from 1 species